AAUUGGAACCAAUAGUCCCAUUUACUUCGUCAGUUCCUUCUGUCAAUACACGUAUUGCCUCUCUCUCUCUUCUCACAAAACGCGAAACCCUGUCUUCUGUAUCACUGGGUUACUCUCUCCUCCAUCCUCCGUCCUAGUCUUCUGGCAAACUCCUCUGCGAAAUUGAAAUGGGUUUGUUUGUAAUUGCGAGUUUCUCUUAGAUUUAGGGUUCUUAGGGUUCCAUUCUCUUAGAUUGUUCAUCUUCCUCUUCAGCGACAGGGGAGAUAGAGUGCCCUAGAUCCACUUUCUCUCUCCUCCUCGCCUUCAAACUAGGGUCAAUUGAAGAGAUACUGAAGACGACGGUCUCCAAGACGGCGGAGGCGAACGUGCUGUGCUACGCCUACGAGGCGGCGCUAUGCUGGGUUAAUUUGUACAUGUAUAAAUAUUAGCAGAUUGAGGUCUAAGAUACGGCACCACUGUGUUUAGAAUCGAUAAGAGCAGCAGAGAAAGAAUGACACCCUUAUCGACUCUAUUGACAGUGCCCUUAUUCUUCGAUUUGUUUGACGGAGGAGGACUUGUCACGGUGGCCAUGAAGGUGUGCUCAAGCGAUUGGCUAAUAUUAUUCUCGGCAGAGGAGGCAGGCACGAAAGCCCUAUACGCUCGCACAGUCCCCCAACACAACAGUCAAAUUCAUGGCCUCACUCUUAAGCUCAACCCAACCACUUCCACCGGGGUUUAACCGAGGACAGUCUCCGGCCACCAAACCAGCAACUCUUCGGGUAUAGACGAAGCCCCAUGCUCAACCCACUAGUAAUACCAGUGCAGAUAACAACGCUAGACUGGCAGUAACACAGAGAAAAGCAGUAGAGCUUCAGAGGCUGAAAGAUAAGGAGGCCAAGGACAGAAAGGAGGAGACCAACAAGAAGAUAGCUUCUCGGAAAGCAAUUUCGGUCUUUUUGCGGAGAGAAGCUACCGAAUCCCACAUCGAGAAGAAGAAAGGCUCCAGGAGACUGCUUCCGAGGAUUGUGCUCGAAGCCCUCCAUGAGAGAAUCACUGCUCUGUGGUAGGAGUCUGCUCUCAAGGUCACUUCUUUUUACCUUGGUUUUAUUCUGACUUGGUUUUCGAGAAUUGGGUGUUUGAAAUUUCUAUCUGGGUUGUGCUUGUUAAGUUGUUCUGCAUUUGGUUGAAGGGUUUACAAUGCUAGGAUUUAAGCAAUCUAUGUGCUUGGUUAGCUUGAGGUCUUUCCAUUUGAUCGAUUUUCGCGUAGUUAAUGAGUUUAUGUAGGAAUGUAUAUAAUAGUGUUAAUCCUGGUGUUUACAAUAAGCUAAUAGUCAUGCUAGGAAAAUGUAAACAACCAGAAAAAGCUGAGAAGCUUUUUCAAGCUAUGAUUGACGAAGGCUGUGGUGUCAGCCAUGAACCUUAUACUACUCUUAUAUCUGCCUAUGGUAGGAGCAGUCUCUUUGACAAAGCAUUUUCCCUCCUUGAGCAGAUGAAGAAUACUCUUGAUUGCCAACCUGACGUCCAUACUUAUUCUAUCCUCAUAAAAUCUUGCCUGCAGGUUUUUGCAUAUGACAAAGUACAGGCUCUGCUUUUAGAUAUGGAAAUUCAGCACAUUAGACCCAACACCAUCACAUACAAUACCCUAAUAGAUGCUUACGGAAAUCUAAAAAGUAUUGCCCACUUAUCCUUCCUAUCCAAAAUUUUGAAUGCUAUUUUAGUUGCUGUGAAUAAUCUACUGUAAGGUUUUAUAUCUGUGCUCAAACAUUUCUUUUUCUAUUCAUAAACUAUAUAGUUGUGCGUUGUCAUUGCGAGUACCAAAACAGGUUUGGAUAGAAUUUUGGACAUUAGUUUUAGGAGAUCUUAUGCCUAGUUUAAUAUUGAUAAACACAUGGGAGACAGACACUCAACAAUUUCCAUUGGUUUCCAGCUUUUUAUGCUCCUACAUAGAUGUCUUCCACCCUUAUCAUAAUCAUUUCUUUUCCGGUCAAUGACAUAACAGAAUAGAUUUUCAGUUUUUUCCUUGUAAUUUCUCUCUCUCUCUCUCUCUCUCUCUCUCUCUCUCUCUUCUUGGAUUGUACUGUUAUAAGUUUCCCUUAUUUUCCUCUCAUCCAAAAAGAAAAUCGUUUCUCUUGCAUUCUUUUCAUUCAGGUCAAUAAGUGUAAUUCAGUUUGAAGGAAUUACCCAUUCUUAAUGUCUUUCUCUUUCCUAAAAGAUUUGCAAAGAUUUGCAGAGGAAUUACCCAUUUAGUUUGGUAGCUGUUUAGCCUUCAUGUAAGUAAUGGCAAGUCUUUGAAUUAGAUUUCUAAGGCUGGAUGCAAAUGUAGGGUUCUUUUUGUUUAUUUGUUUAAUCAGGUAAGAGUCUAGAGAGGAUGUUAUUUCAAAUUGAAUUCCAUGUAACAGUAAAAAGGCAAUUUGACAUAACUGUGGUGCGUGUCCCUAAGAUAUUGAACAGAUAUUACAAUUCCUGACUUACUGAGUAUUUGUGAAAUGUUUGGAUGUGUGGUUUUGCUCACCAAGAAAGAGUAUAAUGUUUGAGUAGCAUUUUUAGCGGAUAAUUGAGGAUUAUAAAUGUGUCAGCUCUUUUUAUAUAUCAGCUUUUGUAAAAAACUGAUUAGUCAACCCUUAAGAUUACUUUUAUUUAGCUAAAUUGACGUAGACUUAUGCAGUGUUUUGCAAGAAAUGAAUUGCAAUGCAGUAAAUGUUUGGAUAUUGAUUAAUUUUGUCUCUGAACAUUCUUUUGUUUUGUUUGUUGUUCCAAUUUUGUUUUUAAUUUUAAGUUCUGUUUUUUAUGAAGUUGACAUUUUGAUUGUGAUUUUUGAUUUCAGAGUUUUGGAACAUUGUGCACUCAGAUUUUUGUAAUCUUUCAAAUUCAGGCAUGACUGUAUACAAGACUGUAUUUGAUUUAGUGUGUCUGCUCUGUUUGUUUUCUGAAAUUUGAAAUAAGUUUAUGUUUACUUAGUAGAAUUAACGACCUUAUUCUCACCAAACAUACUACUGUCUUUUUAGCUUUUUAUCAGCUGCUAAAUUUACAAGACCUUUCUCUUUGUUUCUGGCAUCAACUGAUGACCAAAGCAAUUGUUCAUUUUUGUUUUGUUGACUAAAAGUUGCGUGAAAGCCAAGAUUGGGAAGCUACUGUUAACUAUUGUCAGAGAACUCUUAUUAUUUGCACUUUCAGUUUUGACACCUCCACAUUUGUGUCAUUUGAAGAACUAUGUAUUGGUGGAGCUAUCAUUGGCAAGUUUCCUGUUUCGAUUGUGGUUCUGGCAUUGAAAGAAUCACAAAAGAUCUUCUCAUAAUACUUCAUUGAGAUGAUGAAGCAGAGGCAUAAGAUCGAGAGGGAACAGAACAUUGGGAUGAAGCAGAGGCAUAAGAUCGAGAGGGAACAGAACAUUGGGGAAGAAGUUGGAUGGUCCAAAAAUGUGAAAGUUGCAAAGGGGAUUGCUAGCAAGUAAAAAAUGCAUGAUAGGAGAUUUGGAGUUCACUAGAAAACUCUGCCUGCACUGAUCAAAGAACACGAAUUCUGGAAUUCAGGACAAGGAACUUGCUUCUAUGAUCGAGAGUGUUUCCGAGAAACAGCAUUUUACCGUGAAAUGGUUUUAACUGCCGAGACUGGAUGUGAUUUUAGUACAAGAUGGAUGAGGAGCCAUAUAUGUAGGAGUGGAUUGAGCAAUUGGAAAGCAGUGACCGAUUUAUGUAGGAACCAUAUAUGUAGCAACUGCAUAUGUGCAUAUUUUUGGAAUAAAUAUAUAUUGUAUCUGCUUUUGCUGUUUUUCAUUGUUAGUUAGAAUGCAGCAGUCAUCAAGCUGCUUUUUUUUUUUUUAUUGUAUAGAUACUUGAAUGUAUGGAUGAUU